UGCAAAUGAUGUUUUUCUCACGAUGGUCUUCCAAGCUCAUGUGGCGCUGACGAUACUGCCUAAUGGCUACACUGAUGCAGUUUG
rnacentral:snoRNA from 1 species